CAGUGGGCAAAGCCGGUCAGGCACUUUCCUGACAAACGCUACCACAUAGAUGCUUCAAGCUGGUGCUGACAUCUAGUGCUUCAUUCAGUGAAGUGCAACAGCGAAUUGCGCAAUUUGCUUCUGGUGCAGUUACCGACUUAGUUGCAUGUGUUUGUUUUGUGCUCCAGUGAUCUAAGACUUUACAUUGAAAUAUCUGAGGAGCUGGGGAAGCAACGAGGACGUUUGAAGGCCAUCGCAGACAGGAAGUUGCCACAGAAAUGGACACAAUGCUUGAGAAACGAGAUGACACGACUGAUCAGUGUGUCAAUAGCUUCGUAGACAUUUAUUCUCUACUUUUCCUCUACAUAAUGUACUGUGUGGGAUUCUGCCCUGUUUGUUUCUUUGUGUUACGUCACGUCGUCUGACCACUCCGACGGAAGUGAAAACCCCAUGUCACGUUCAUUUUGUAGGUGACUUAGAAAUUGUUUUAUUUUAUGAACACAGAUGACUUUGCCCAGACAAUUUGAUAACAAUAUUUGUAGAAGAAAAAAUGUCAGAAUGUACGAACAUCGAAGGAAAAUAUUUAAGUAGGGGAUUUAUUGUGCCCAAUUUCUGCAAUUUUUCCAUUAUUACAUGUUGAGAAACCCGAUAAUUCAUAGAGUAAUUAGAGUAAUUACUUCUUUGCAAUUAUGUACACCCUUAAGGUUGAAUAAAGGUGGCCAUCUCCCAAUGACCGCCCGAAAUAUUCUACAGAAUGACAGAUUUAUAUAUUUUCGUAUAUACGAAAACUACCACAUAUUAAUUACAGCAGCCAGCUACGUUUAACACAGUUUAUUAGAUACACAAAGAGACGCGUUUCGAUCCUGUGUUACAGUAUCAUCAUCAGUGUUGAUGUUUUAUAUGUGGUUUAAAAUACAAAUCUACGUCAAAGUUACUAUAACAUUAUGGUUAAAACAAUAUUCAAUUCUAAAGGGUUUUGACUUACACUUAAAAUUAUUUGUUGUCAGGACUUUUUCCAUCGUCUGUUUUUAAAAUUCACGACGUUUCGGAGGCUGGUUCUGCCUCCGUCUUCAGGUGAGAGGUACCUACUCUGUUGGGUCCCUUAGAAAGAGCUAGUCUCUGUCACUGGACAAUAUAAAUCGUGCAAUUAUUUCAACUUGUCCACCCAAAUACGCGUUCUGUCAGUGGAUUAUAAUACUUAAAAACAGACGAUGGAAAAAGUCCUGACAACAAAUAAUUUUAAGUGUAAAAUAUCUUGUUCAUCAGAAUCUGUGUUUCUAAGCCAUGCGCCCCAUUUUUAAUAUACCAAUAGCUUUGGUUCAUUUAGAUGUUGCUAAAUAAAAGACCGUUAUAUCUGCAAAACCAAACACGUAUUAAAGUUUGUUUAUGAAAUUCUUUAAAACCAUAUACGUUUUAUUUUCACGUUUUAACUACAUAUAAUAUUUUAUAACUUAACUUUUGAUAUGUACAAACUUUAUCAAAAAUAUCAGAAAGUGGUAUGCAGCCAUAUCAUUUUAUUAGCGGUUAGAACGCUGGCCUUUGUAUUCCUGGGGUCCCGGAUUCGAUUCCCGGGGUGCCCGAAUUUAUAAC